rnacentral:rRNA from 1 species
GACGAACCGUGCGAACGUUAUUCGGAAUCAUUGGGCUUAAAGCGCGUGUAGGCGGGAGGGCACGUCCGUCGCUGAAAUCCCCCGGCUCAACCGGGGAACGGGCGCGGAUACGACCUUCCUGGAGGGGCGUAGGGGGACCUGGAACUUCCGGUGGAGCGGUGAAAUGCGUUGAGAUCGGAAGGAACGCCCGUGGCGAAAGCGAGGUCCUGGACGCCUACUGACGCUGAGACGCGAAAGCCAGGGGAGCGAACGGG